rnacentral:rRNA from 1 species
AGUGAACGCUGGCGGUAGGCCUAACACAUGCAAGUCGAACGGCAGCACAGUAAGAGCUUGCUCUUACGGGUGGCGAGUGGCGGACGGGUGAGGAAUACAUCGGAAUCUACUUUUUCGUGGGGGAUAACGUAGGGAAACUUACGCUAAUACCGCAUACGACCUACGGGUGAAAGCAGGGGAUCUUCGGACCUUGCGCGAUUGAAUGAGCCGAUGUCGGAUUAGCUAGUUGGCGGGGUAAAGGCCCACCAAGGCGACGAUCCGUAGCUGGUCUGAGAGGAUGAUCAGCCACACUGGAAGUGAGACACGGUCCAGACUCCUACGGGAGGCAGCAGUGGGGAAUAUUGGACAGUGGGCGCAAGCCUGAUCCAGCCAUACCGCGUGGGUGAAGAAGGCCUUCGGGUUGUAAAGCCCUUUUGUUGGGAAAGAAAAGCAGCAGGUUAAUACCCCGCUGUUCUGACGGUACCCAAAGAAUAAGCACCGGCUAACUUCGUG